rnacentral:lncRNA from 1 species
AAACAAAAUUGCUCUUUAAUUUUUUGUUUGAAUAUCAGAUAUAUUAUAUUAUUCAAUGUUAAGUGUAUUUGAAUGCUAAGAUACUAUCUAAAAAACAAUCAUAAUUCGAUUAUACUGACCUCUUGAUCGAUCUGAUCGAAACCAUGCUCUCUCACUGUCGAUUAAUCAGAAACUAAAAGCUAAACAAAAAACGGUCAAAGUUCCGUUUUCUUUUUCAUUGUUAAGUAAAGUAAUGCACACAUGUUGUAGACAGCUAUUACUCUGUAAAUUGUAACUAACACGCA